rnacentral:rRNA from 1 species
GACGAACGCUGGCGGCGUGCUUAACACAUGCAAGUCGAACGAUGAAGCCGGAGCUUGCUCUGGUGAAUUAGUGGCGAACGGGUGAGUAACACGUGAGUAACCUGCCCUUGACUCUGGGAUAACUGCGGGAAACUGUAGCUAAUACCGGAUACGACCCUCGGAGGCAUCUCCUGGGGGUGGAAAGAAUUUCGGUCAAGGAUGGACUCGCGGCCUAUCAGCUAGUUGGUGAGGUAAAGGCUCACCAAGGCGACGACGGGUAGCCGGCCUGAGAGGGGGACCGGCCACACGGGGACUGAAGCACUGCCCAGACUCCUACGGGAGGCAGCAGUGGGGAAUAUUGCACAAUGGGCGCAAGCCUGAUGCAGGAACGCCGCGUGAGGGAUGACGGCCCUCGGGUUGUAAACCUCUUUUAGCAGGGAAGAAGCGAAAGUGACGGUACCUGCAGAAAAAGCACCGGCUAACUACGUGCCAGCAGCCGCCGUAA